rnacentral:lncRNA from 1 species
UCUCACGUUAGCUCCAAGAAAUUGGUCUCUAAUUAGAAAUAUAAAUAAAAUAAUCUCUUUAGUCAAUGAUAUUUACCUAAAUCAAUAGGUUCUUGAGCGGAUCUCAUGUUAGCUCCAAAACGUCGAUCUUUGAUAAGAUAUAUAAAUGCUGAGAAGCUUCAGGCCCAGAAGAUCCGUAAAACUCAUUAGGAUAAACGGUAUUUAUCCACAGGAGAUGAAGUCCUUGGCCAACUGAUCUCACGUUAGCUCCAAGAAAUUGGUCUCUAAUUAGAAAUAUAAAUAAAAUAAUCUCUUUAGUCAAUGAUAUUUACCUAAAGCAAUAGGUUCUUGAGCGGAUCUCAUGUUAGCUCCAAAACGUCGAUCUUUGAUAAGAUAUAUAAAUGCUGAGAAGCUUCAGGCCCAGAAGAUCCGUAAAACUCAUUAGGAUAAACGGUAUUUAUCCACAGGAGAUGAAGUCCUUGGCCAGCUGCAUUUCAUAGUUUCCCAAAAAUAAUCUUUUUAGUCGGGGAACACAUUAGAUAUUUACCUAAAUCAAUAGGUUCUUGAACGGAUCUCAUGUUAGCUCCAAAACGUUGGUCUUUGACUAGAAAUAUAAAUGCUUGAGCUUGAGAAGCUUCUGGCCCGGUAGGUCCGUAAAACUCACUAGGAUAAGCGGUAUUAUUAAACCAGAUAAAUUUGGCCAACUGCAUUUCAUAGUUUCCCAAAAAUAAUCUCUUUAGUCGGGGAUAUUUACCUAAAUCAAUAGGUUCUUGUGCGGAUCCCAUGUUAGCUCCAAAACGUUGGUCUCUAACUAGAUAUAUAAAUGCUCGAGUUUGAGAAGCUUGUGGCCCAGUAGAUCCGUAAAACCGUAAGCGGUAUUAUUAAACCAAACAAGAACAUCUGUUUUGAUGGUCGCAGAGUUUCGUAGCUCCUCACACAGCAGACGGAUCUGAUAACAAAGCUAGUUUGGAGAAGACUUAUAAACGAGGCUCACUCACUGUAUAAUAAUAUAGCCCACCUCGUCUUAUGCUUCGUGCACUGAGAAUUUUCUAUAACAUUUCGUUCCAUUUAUGCCUCACCAUUAGGCAUUUGAUUCUAAACUUGCAAGAUUCGCCCACCACGAUUACUGUACAAUUUUCAUCUGUCUUUUCUAUUUGUUCCCCCACAUCAAAUGUGAAAUUAAAAUAUGUUUUCGAGAUCGUUUUCUCGUAUACUUGGGAGUCUCGAACUUGGAACGUCAUAAUUACUCCGUCUUCCUUGGUGCAAUUCUAAUCUCAUUUUUUGAUGAUUGAUUUGAUGUGAUAAUUCAUCCAUCAAUCAAUUCGAUGAUUGAUCAUCGACGAGUCUGGAU